rnacentral:rRNA from 1 species
GUUGACCUCGGAUCAGGUAGGGAUACCCGCUGAACUUAAGCAUAUCAAUAAGCGGAGGAAAAGAAACCAACAGGGAUUGCCCCAGUAACGGCGAGUGAAGCGGCAAGAGCUCAAAUUUGAAAGCUGACUCCUUCGGGGUCCGCAUUGUAAUUUGCAGAGGAUGCUUCGGGAGCGGUCCCCAUCUAAGUGCCCUGGAACGGGACGUCAUAGAGGGUGAGAAUCCCGUAUGGGAUGGGGUGUCCGCGCCCGUGUGAAGCUCCUUCGACGAGUCGAGUUGUUUGGGAAUGCAGCUCUAAAUGGGUGGUAAAUUUCAUCUAAAGCUAAAUAUUGGCCGGAGACCGAUAGCGCACAAGUAGAGUGAUCGAAAGAUGAAAAGCACUUUGAAAAGAGAGUUAAAAAGCACGUGAAAUUGUUGAAAGGGAAGCGCUUGCGACCAGACUCGCUCGCGGGGUUCAGCCGGCAUUCGUGCCGGUGUACUUCCCCGCGAGCGGGCCAGCGUCGGUUUGGGCGGUCGGUCAAAGGCCCUCGGAAGGUAACGCCCCUAGGGGCGUCUUAUAGCCGAGGGUGCAAUGCGACCUGCCUAGACCGAGGAACGCGCUUCGGCUCGGACGCUGGCAUAAUGGUCGUAAGCGACC